GUUAAUAUAGUUUAAAUAAAAUACCAGACUGUGAAUCUGGAGACAGGACAUAAAACUCCUUAUUUACC
rnacentral:tRNA from 1 species